AACGAACGCUGGCGGCAUGCCUAACACAUGCAAGUCGAACGAGACCUUCGGGUCUAGCGGCGCACGGGUGCGUAACGCGUGGGAACCUGCCCUUAGGUUCGGAAUAACUCCCCGAAAGGGGUGCUAAUACCGGAUAAUGUCUUCGGACCAAAGAUUUAUCGCCUUUGGAUGGGCCCGCGUUGGAUUAGCUAGUUGGUAGGGUAAAAGCCUACCAAGGCGACGAUCCAUAGCUGGUCUGAGAGGAUGAUCAGCCACACUGGGACUGAGACACGGCCCAGACCCCUACGGGAGGCAGCAGUGGGGAAUAUUGGACAAUGGGCGAAAGCCUGAUCCAGCAAUGCCGCGUGAGUGAUGAAGGCCUUAGGGUUGUAAAGCUCUUUUACCCGGGAUGAUAAUGACAGUACCGGGAGAAUAAGCUCCGGCUAACUCCGUG
rnacentral:rRNA from 1 species